rnacentral:lncRNA from 1 species
UCUUACAACAAAUCUAUAUGAAACCCUAGUGAUAGCCGCCCCUAAUUCCACCACCUUGGGGUGGCAGCGCCUAUGUCAAUACCUACCAAAUUAACACCCCUAAACCUCAUUCUCCCCCUCAUUCCAAAAAUCCAUUCCAUUUCCUUUGAAUCCCAAUAAAUCCUCUCAAAUUUGGUUUCGAAGGUAAGCCCUAAAAUCCCAAUUUCAAAACAAUAGGUCUAUUUGAAGAUUUAGAGUUGUAUUAGACAAUAAUCGUGUGUUUUUGCAUGACAACACACGGUUAGGGUCUAUUCCGGUAAGGAUAUCAAAAGGUUCUUCGAAGUUUUCUUCAAAUGUACUCUGUCCAGUUUAGGUAUAUGUUCCGGCUUCUUUUUAUCACAUUAAUGUUGUUUACCCUCGAUUUUGUUUAGUGCAUGUGACGUUCCGUUCCUCCUGUCUCUUUAUUUUUCCUUUCUUGACUAUGUUGGUUAGUAAUUAUCCAUUUUAGUUGCAAGCUUUCUGAUUAUAUCUUUGUUCGUUUCAGUCUUGUUAAAUGUUCAUAUGUUCUUUUUUGUUGCAAAGUUUUCUUUUGUUAUCUUGAUUUCCUUUAGUCGAUCGGGAACUUUUUUUGGUAACAAGGCUAAGUUGGAUUGUUGUUAAAUUGGAAUUUAGCAUAUUAGGGCUUAAUCUAAAAUUCAUCACUCGAUUGGCCCAGUUCUGAGUCUUAAAAUCAGUCAAUUUUGUUUCUUUUUUCUAUUUGUCACUGACUUGGUUUGGUGUUUGGCCCAUUUGGCUUGGGCUUUAAGUCCAUAUUUUGGACUUGAACCUUUGGGUCAUUGAUCCAUGACCCCAUUUGGUCCAGGGGUGGUAAAAUUAUGACGUUUAAGGGGUAGUUUCGGGUCUUUGGGUAGAGAAUCUUGCUGUAACAACCUAAGAAACUCCUAGAAGCUUCUAGUAGAGGGAUUGUCAUUAAAUUUCGGACCAUAACUUGACCAACAAGUCAUAAAAUAAAGGAUCAAAUAGGCAAAAAUAGGAAAUUAAGCAGGGACUAAAAGGCUAAGUAAAAUCUGAAGGUUGUCCUAAUUGCUUGCCUAUAAAGGCACUCCAAAACUUGCGUUGUGAGGGAGGAGAGAUCGGUUUUUCAAAAAAAAAAACAAUAAAAAACAAAAAAAUAACUCAAAAAAAAGGACGGCUAAAAUUGAAAAAAUCACUGUUCCAUUGAGCUCCAUUUCUGAUUUUAGAAUUCCAAUUUGUUAAGGAAAUCUUUAGUUCAGUGGGUCUGUGAAAUGGCUUAAACUUGUCUUUAUUUUAAAGUCUGGCAUUGAUUUCUGAGGCAAGGUCACUACUUCAUUGGUGUUUGAGUUGAUUUCACUAGGUAGUUGAUCGAUUAUAGGAGUAUUCUUGCUGCUGUUGAUCAUUGCUCUUGUAACUGCUCUGCUAUUAACUCCUCACUCUUUUUGUUAUUUCAAAAUUCCAGGUACUUCUUGUCAAAUUUUACAGAUGUAACUCUCAAUUUGAAGACGAAAUAAAAGCUAAAGCAUGAACAUCGACUCCUUGUACUAAUUUUUAGUUAUUCAUGAUAUUUAUGCCUUCAAUCACAUGAGCUAUUUUAUAAUUAAUUGGAUUCUUACAUUUGUACUUGUUAAAACAGUACUGUAACAGAUGUCUAAACAUGCCUGUUAUUUUCAUACUCUUAAUAUGGAUUAAUGUCAUUAUAGUUAAAUCUAAUGUAAGUAGUUGUAUGACUGCAUGGUUUGGGUGCCAUGUCAGCCUUUUGUAUUCAUGUUUGCAUUUGAAUAAGUAUAGAAACAUAUCAAUGGUUGUGGCUUCUACUGGGUUUUUUUUAACAAUAUCAGCA